rnacentral:lncRNA from 1 species
GUGAGCACCAGGGGCCAAACCUAUGAUCUUCUAUUGAUUCGGAAACAAACCUCAGAGUGUGGCAUGAAGAAUAAUCAUGAUAAUGAAAUAAUAGCUGUGUUGUAAGAAUGCAAAGUUGGAUGCUAACAUUUGUCUGAGAUCAUGAAGAAGAGGAAUGGGAAGUUCAUGACAUCUGUGAAGUUAGUGACUAAGGCUGUAUGGCCUGUUUUUCCUGGAACCAGCAGGACUCCCAUCCAGGUCCACUCAAGUUGUGACACUGCUUGGCUUACU